rnacentral:rRNA from 1 species
UACGUAGGGUGCGAGCGUUGUCCGGAAUUAUUGGGCGUAAAGAGCUUGUAGGCGGUUUGUCGCGUCUGCUGUGAAAUCUCAAGGCUCAACCUUGAGCUUGCAGUGGGGUACGGGCAGACUAGAGUGUGGUAGGGGAGACUGGAAUUCCUGGUGUAGCGGUGAAAUGCGCAGAUAUCAGGAGGAACACCGAUGGCGAAGGCAGGUCUCUGGGCCACUACUGACGCUGAGAAGCGAAAGCAUGGGGAGCGAACAGG